CCGGCCUGGUCGUGUCGUGCGUGCCUUCGAUUGCGCAUUUUGUUGAGCACACCAGUACACCACACCAGGCCAGUCUGCUGUUUCUUCUUCAGCGCACGCCCUGCUAGCUGCUGCAACGAAAACCUGAAGGUGAAGGUCUCGGACCCCUCGGUAGCCCUACACUGCAGCGGGGUAGGUGGCGAGGCGUGUCGCGUGUGCAGCACUGCAGCAGCAGCCUCUCCCGCGUCGGGUGAGGAGAGCACAGAGGAGGGGGUUGCUGUGCCUGUGCCCGGGCAGGUGCGCGCGGCAAUACUUUUCUUCCCCCCGUGCGCUCUCCUUUACGUUUUGUUUUUGUUGGAGGAGCCGAGGAGGAAGAGUCAGCGGUCCAAGGUAAACGCUCUGCCCCUGGCGAAUAAACGCUACGUCUAUACGCGUCCCAGCAUGUGCGGCGCGUCGGAAAGCAAACGAACAAACAACAGGGCACGCGCGUUCGGCUGACAACUACGGCUUGACGAGAUGUUCAUAGCUCGUCUGCUACUUCGGUUCGUGGUCAGUUAUAUCAGUUCGUUUGAAUUUUUUUACGAGCUGAGAUGACAUUCUAGUUCGGUUUGUUAACGAGCCAACUCGCAAGCUAAACGAGCUAAUAUGUUUCAACAAAAUAAAACUAUAUGUAUAUCAUUUAUGUAAUAAUUGAUGAACAUAUUAUAUUUAUGUAUGGUGUAUAUGUCAUAUGAGUUAAACUAA